UACGUAGGGGGCAAGCGUUGUCCGGAUUCAUUGGGCGUAAAGAGCGUGUAGGCGGCCAGGUAGGUCGGUUGUGAAAACUGGAGGCUCAACCUUCAGAGGUCGACCGAAACCAUCUGGCUAGAGUCCGGGAGAGGAGAGUGGAAUUCCUGGUGUAGCGGUGAAAUGCGUAGAGAUCAGGAGGAACACCCGUGGCGAAGGCGGCCCUCUGGCUCGACCCUGACGCUGAGAGGCGAAAGCGUGGGGAGCGAACGGG
rnacentral:rRNA from 1 species